GCGGCGCGGGGGACCCCAGGGACAUGGUGAAGCUGAACGAUGAGGAGGGGGCAGCGAUGGCACCCGGGCACCAGCCCACGAAUGGAUACCUCCUGGUGCCGGGAGGCGAGCCCCCCGGAAAGGUGAGCGCCGAGCUGCAGAACGGGCCCAAAGCCGGCUGCCUGACCCUGAAUGGAGUGUCUCGGGACAGCCUCGCUGCCGCGGCGGAAGCCCUAUGCAGGCCGCAGACUCCGUUGGCUCCAGAGGAGGAGACCCAGACUCGGCUGCUGCCCACGGGCCCCGGGGAAGAGACCCCGGGGACCGAGGGCUCCCCGGCGCCCCAGACCGCGCUGUCUGCGCGGCGGUUUGUGGUGCUCCUGAUCUUCAGCCUGUACUCGCUGGUGAACGCCUUUCAGUGGAUCCAGUACAGUGUUAUCAGCAACGUCUUCGAGGGCUUCUACGGCGUCUCCUCCCUGCACAUUGACUGGCUGUCCAUGGUGUACAUGCUGGCCUACGUGCCCCUCAUCUUCCCCGCCACGUGGCUGCUGGACACCAGAGGCCUACGGCUCACCGCCUUGCUGGGCUCAGGCCUCAACUGCCUGGGCGCCUGGGUCAAGUGCGCCAGCGUGCAGCAGCAUCUCUUCUGGGUCACCAUGCUGGGCCAGUGCCUCUGCUCCGUGGCCCAGGUGUUCAUUCUCGGCUUGCCCUCCCGCAUCGCCUCAGUGUGGUUUGGGCCCAAGGAGGUAUCCACGGCUUGUGCCACCGCCGUGCUAGGCAAUCAGCUUGGAGCUGCCAUUGGCUUUUUGCUGCCACCAGUUUUAGUGCCCAACACGCAGAAUAACACAGAUCUUCUGGCCUGUAAUAUCAGCACCAUGUUUUAUGGAACAUCAUCUGUUGCCACGUUUUUAUGUUUUUUAACAAUAAUUGCAUUCAAAGAAAAACCUCAGUAUCCACCAAGUCAGGCUCAAGCAGCUCUUCAAAACAGCCCCCCUGCUGAGUACUCCUAUAAGAAAUCAAUAAGGAACCUAUUUAGAAACGUUCCCUUUGUCCUUCUAUUGAUCACUUAUGGUAUCAUAACUGGAGCAUUUUAUUCAGUCUCAACAUUAUUGAAUCAAAUGAUAUUGACAUAUUACAAGGGAGAAGAAGUGAAUGCUGGAAAGAUUGGGCUAACAUUGGUAGUGGCUGGAAUGGUGGGCUCUAUUCUUUGUGGCUUUUGGCUUGAUUAUACCAAAAUAUACAAACAGACUACUCUGAUAGUUUACAUUUUAUCUUUUCUUGGAAUGGUUAUAUUUACUUUCACAUUGGACCUUGGAUACAGUAUCGUUGUGUUUGUUACUGGAGGGGUGCUUGGUUUCUUCAUGACUGGUUACCUCCCAUUGGGUUUUGAAUUUGCUGUUGAAAUCACUUACCCUGAAUCUGAAGGCACCUCAUCUGGUCUUCUUAAUGCUGCCGCACAGAUAUUUGGAAUUCUGUUCACAUUGGCUCAAGGAAAACUCACAACAGACUAUAGUCCUAAAGCAGGAAACAUUUUCCUCUGUGUUUGGAUGUUUCUAGGCAUCAUUUUUAACAGCAUUAAUCAAGUCUGAUCUCAGAAGACACAAUAUAAAUAUAGGAAUUGCAAAUGGUGAUAUUAAAGCUGUACCAGUUGAAGAUACAGUUGAAGAUAGUCCCACAGAUCAAGAAUCAAAAACUAUUGUGAUGUCCAAGCAGUCAGAAUCGGCAAUUUGAGGUGAAAAAAAAGUUAACAUCAUGCGAUACUUGAGCAGUAAGGCUUGGUUUAAACGUUAUGGGAUAUGGAUACUUCCUUGAAAAUUAUUACGUGACCCAUAAUUAUUAUCUUGCUUAAUUGUAACCUUAAGCAAUAUUUUGCUUAGCAGACUUUGGCUCAUCUCAUAUUAACACUACCAUUUAUCAACUGAGCCUUCCAUUCAUAGUCCUCUCUUGUCAACCUGAAAGUAAGCUUCUUGAUGUGUAUUUUCCAAAAGUGGUUUUGUUGUGUUUUGUUUUGUUUUGUUUCUUUGUAGAAAAUGGAAGGUUGGAAGGCUUUCUGAAAUGAUAAUGUGGAGGCCUAAUCCCCGUAAAUCACAUAGGACUUCAUGCAAUUUAGAACCAAGUGACCAAUAUAUUCCUAAUUGGCUCCUUUCCAUUGUUCUGAUCUACUGUCCAGUGACCCUCAGUAGGAGUACAUUACACCAACACGACACUCCUGGCCCAUCAAAGGACAGCACUGGGAUGACACCUGCACAGAACCUCUAAGAUUUUUCCCAUUUCUUAUAUUCUUGUUAAACAGUGCUUUGUAACGUGUACUGUCAGUGGCCAUCAAAACUAUCGUGGGAACAGGUUGAACCCAUGACUUUGGUCUUAGACUUGAAUUCUAAUGAAGCUAAGGGGCCCAGACAGACUCAUUGUCUUGAGUUCUCUGCACUGCCUUCCAACCAUGGUAUAAAUGCUAAUACUAUUUUCUCACUUCAACUUGACAGUAAUUUUGUACCCACUGCCUUGCUUACUCUUUUUUCAACACGGGCAAGAUUGGAGAUAUUGUCACUUCAGCUCCAUACCACUCAGAGUAAAGCAAAUAUCACAGUAAAGUGACUCAAAUGAAUUCUUUGGUUUCCCAAUACACAUAAAAGUCAUAUUUACACUGUUCUGUAGUCUAGUAAGUGUGCAAUAGACUGCAGGAACAAUGGACAUACCUUCAGUGAAAAAAGACUUAUUGUAAAAAAUGCUAACCAUCAGCUGAGCUUUCAGUAACUCAUAAUCACCACCAUUGGUCACCAAAACAAAUAUAAUAAUGAAAAAGGUUGAAAUAUUGCAUGAAUUACAAAAUGUGACACAGACACAAAAUGAGCAAAUGCUUGGAAAAUUGGCACCAAUAUACUUGCUCAAUUCAGGGUUGCCCCAAACCUUCAAGUUGUUGGAAAAAAAAAAACAAACCCACAAUAUCUGUGAAGUGCAGUAAAUCAAAGCACAAUAAAAUGAGGUAUGCCUGUAUAUAUAACUUUGUAGUAAGACAAUGUCAUCCUAUGUGUUACUGGUUUUUUCAUGUUUUCUUGUAUCAUCCCUAAUACUUUUGCUUCAGUAUUGCAAAGAAAUCUGUGGUGACUUAGCCUAGGAGUUCUCAUUUAGUGAAGACCUCUUAAGAUGCUUUAAUUCUCUACGAACAUCUGUAUGACCAUUCUCCUUUGAGGAAUACUGUGCCCAGGUAUGUGCUCCUGCAGUGUAUUGUGGGAGUGUAUCCUUUCUUCACCCGACUGUACAUACUGUUCCAAAAGUCUGCUCUUUCACAUGCUCAGGGUAAGGAGAAUAGGACCAAAUGUGCUUCUACAGUGCCUACCACUGCGUUUUGUUUACAAUGAGAAUUUACAUGUUGUUCACGUCCUGACUCUCUAAGCUCAUAGGGAAUAUCUUUAGAAUACUAACAUCUAAACAGCCAUAAUAUUUACAUUAUGUCCACAUAAACAACAACAACAAAAAGCCAAUCAGGUGUGCCCUUGAAGUAAAUUAGCGAUUCUGAUUUGGGCAGAUUAUAUGCAUUGCUUUAUGUUGAUAUUAUAACAUUCUCUGUAAUCAAAUGACAGUAAAUGAUGUAGAAUCUUACCUGGAGAAUGUGUCACCAGAAGAACUUAGCUGGGAAUCAGAAGCUCUGGGUCUGUGACUGUCUGGGUCACAGACCUGGGUCUGUGUCCCUGUCACUCUCUGGGCAGCAUUUUCCUUAUCCAUAUAAUGAAUGUAUUCACUUUGAUCUCAAAGACCUUUUUUGCAUCUUCAAUGCCAUUCAUCAUGGGGUAGACCAAAUCAGGUACCGUGGGAACUUAAAUCUAGCUAGAGAAAAAUCCCCUAGAGAAUUGGAUUAACAGCUGUGAUUGUUACUUUGUGGAUCUGGGGGAUUUAAAAUCUUUUUUUUUUUUUUUUUUUUUAGCUUUUUUAUUCAGUUGGUGAUAGCUCAGGCAGAAUAUGCUGAAUCAUUAACUUCCUUAGAUAUUUACAUUAUAGGUUUUAUGACCAAAAAUAUAUCCUAAGAUCCCUCCUAAAUAAUUAUUUUUAUUUUUGAACUAUCAGUGUUGUUUUAAACAAUCAUGUACUUGUUGAGUUCCCUAGCUUUUGAAAAAAAAUUACAGAUAAAGGUUGGAAUACUUUAUUUCCGAAAAGCAUAUGCAUAUAUAUGUCAUGUGUAUCUUUCUUUGUUGAUUAGAAAAAGGAUGAAAUAGGAUGUGACAAAAUGCAAAAUGAAUUGAUAAUUUUUCUGUAUUUUGAGUUAAAGUUGCCUGUAAUUUGUGAAACAAGAAAUGUCAUAUAAUUCUAUGUCUGAUCUUUGGAAAAUAGAGUUGGGUAACCAUCACUUCUGUAAAUUUUAACAAAAUAAUUUUAGAAAGAAAUUGGAUGCUUUCAAAAGCUGUUGCAUUUAUAAAUUAUGCAGAAAAGAAAAAUACUAGCUUUUGCCUUUUGUGAAUGUUGGAGAAAUGUCUUUAAAAUAUUGUUUAUAUGUAAACUCAGAAUAUGCCAGAAGAAUUCCUGUCUGUAUGAAGUCAUCUUUCAUGUUUGAAAUUUUGCUUUUUGUACUAUUUGUCUGUAUGCUUGUUCUUCAGUGUUUCAGACCUGAAAUAAAUUUAUUUUUUUAAUGUUAA